rnacentral:misc_RNA from 1 species
UCCGGUUUGUCACCGGCAGUCACUCUAGAGUGCCCAUCCGAAAUGCUGGCAACUAAAGUCAAGGGUUGCGCUCGUUGCGGGACUUAACCCAACAUCUCACGACACGAGCUGACGACAACCAUGCACCACCUGUCUCCUCUGUCCCGAAGGAAAGGUACAUCUCUGUACCGGUCAGAGGGAUGUCAAGACCUGGUAAGGUUCUUCGCGUUGCUUCGAAUUAAACCACAUGCUCCGCUGCUUGUGCGGGGCCCCGUCAAUUCCUUUGAGUUUCAGCCUUGCGGCCGUACUCCCCAGGCGGGGCACUUAAUGCGUUAGCGCCGGCACCCGGGGGGUCGCUCCCCCAGGCACCUAGUGCCCAUCGUUUACGGCGUGGACUAC